rnacentral:tRNA from 1 species
GGUCCCAUCGUCUAGUCUGGUCCAGGACACACGGCUUUCAUCCGUGUAACUGGGGUUCAAAUCCCCAUGGGACCG